AGGAGGUAAUCAUAGUCGCCUAGGCUUCAGUCUUAUAUUCGGAAGAUAAAGACUGCAAGAUGCGUUGGCUUUCUAUUGGGCUACUGGUGUGUGCCCUCAGUAUCCUGAGUGUACAAGCGGCACCGAAAGACAAAUGGGAUGACGAAUCCGCCAUUACCCAAUCCUCUUCAUCAUCCUCCUUCAAAAGUUCAUCGAGCGAAGAAUCGUCCUCGUCUUCUGAA